rnacentral:rRNA from 1 species
UAACGCGAAGAACCUUACCUACUCUUGACAUCCAGAGAACUUAGCAGAGAUGCUUUGGUGCCUUCGGGAACUCUGAGACAGGUGCUGCAUGGCUGUCGUCAGCUCGUGUUGUGAAAUGUUGGGUUAAGUCCCGCAACGAGCGCAACCCUUAUCCUUUGUUGCCAGCGGUUCGGCCGGGAACUCAAAGGAGACUGCCAGUGAUAAACUGGAGGAAGGUGGGGAUGACGUCAAGUCAUCAUGGCCCUUACGAGUAGGGCUACACACGUGCUACAAUGGCAUAUACAAAGAGAAGCGACCUCGCGAGAGCAAGCGGACCUCAUAAAGUAUGUCGUAGUCCGGAUUGGAGUCUGCAACUCGACUCCAUGAAGUCGGAAUCGCUAGUAAUCGUAGAUCAGA